CAACCAGAAAGGGUGGGGUUAGAAAUAAAUAAGGAAAAUAGGAGGAAGUUGAUAAGAAAAGUGAAUAAAUAAGAUGAAAGAAUAUGCAAAAAACCACAUCUACUUGAAAUAUAUUAAACUGCAUUUUGAUUACACCUUCCUCUUCCAGCUUCCCUUUUUCUCCAAUAUUUCAGUGAAAAGAUGUUGUUCCUUACUCACCCUUUUAUCUUUGUAGGUGUUCACACCUUGUUUACCUUUUCUACUGCCUCUAAAUAUGGUCACCCCAG
rnacentral:lncRNA from 1 species